GACUCAUCAACGGACGACAGUCUUUAUCCAAUUGCAGUUUCGAUAGAUGAAUUAUAGAAUAAAAAUUUACUACUGCGAUUGAAUUUAAUCAAAAAACUUUUAACGAUUGCCUUGGCACUUGGUGCUGAACGUACUUGUAGUGAGUCGAUGCCUUUUUGACAGAGACCAUUUAUAAUGGAGAUGAAGUUUAAUUGGCACUCGCUGAACAACUUGGUACAUUCACACCACUUGUAGGUCGACUUGAUCAUGUUUAUUGUUUAUUGCCACCACUUGAAGCAUUGGCACCUGUUGAAGAAACAGUU